ensembl:ncRNA H30A04.11 ncRNA
AUCGGCUAGUGUCAUUGGUCCCAACGGUGAAAUUUCCAUAUUGCCUUUCUUAUGGCCUUUUUUUUGUUGAGAAGAUCUUAGUGUAUGGGUUUUCGAGAAAUAUUAAGAGGAAACAAGAAAGGAAGACCUCCUUUCAAGUUUUUAUGCUCCUGACGUUUAGCAGAUGCGGCGACGGCGACGGCGCCAAGUGACUCCUUGGG